GGGAAGAUGGCCGAGCGGUCUAUGGCGCUGUGUUCAGGCUUGCUUGACUCGCAGUAUCGAAAGAUGCGUGGGUUCGAAUCCCACUCUUCUCA